rnacentral:rRNA from 1 species
ANUGCAAGUCGAGCGAGAAGGGCUUCGGCCCCAGUAAAGCGGCGCACGGGUGAGUAACACGUAGGUCAUCAACCCUCGAGUGGUGGACAACCCUCCGAAAGGAGGGCUAAUACAGCAUGACGCCAGCAAUGGCCAAAGCGGGCCUCUCCAUGGAAGCUCGCGCUUGAGGAUGAGCCUGCGGCCCAUCAGCUAGUUGGUUGGGGUAAUGGCCCACCAAGGCUAAGACGGGUAGCUGGUCUGAGAGGAUGAACAGCCACACUGGAACUGAGACACGGUCCAGACUCCUACGGGAGGCAGCAGUCGGGAAUCUUCCGCAAUGGGCGAAAGCCUGACGGAGCGACGCCGCGUGAGCGAUGAAGGCCUUCGGGUUGUAAAGCUCUGUGGGGAGGAAAGAAUAAGGACAGGCAAAUACCCUGUUUGAUGACGGUACCUCCUUAGCAAGCACCGGCUAACUCUGUGCCAGCAGCCGCGGUAAGACAGAGGGUGCAAACGUUGUUCGGAUUUACUGGGCGUAAAGCGCGUGUAGGCGGCUUGGCAAGUCGGAUGUGAAAGCCCACGGCUCAACCGUGGAAGCGCAUCCNAAACUGCUUCGCUUGAGUCUCGGAGAGGAAGGUGGAAUGCUUGGUGUAGAGGUGAAAUUCGUAGAUAUCAAGCAGAACACCUGCGGCGAAGGCGGCCUUCUGGACGAUGACUGACGCUGA